UGACAGAUAGUACACUAUACUUUGUAACACACCCUGCCUAUCUCACUUAGUUUAUCCUGGAAAUCACUGCAUGUAGUUUGCUGAAGCACUGCUCUGUUCCCUUUCACAGCCGCAUAGCGCUCCACAGUACGGAUGUUUUCCAACUUCAGUACUUUCCCAUGUACGGACAGUUAAGACUGUUUCCACAGUUUGCAGUGGACGGCCAGUGAACAGACUGCCCAGCUCGCAGGACACCCACAGCAGCUGUCUCAGAGCCCUGCACUCAGCUAAUACCCUUGGCACAUGGAGGAUUCCAUACCGCCAGCUGGAAGGCGGGGAGGGCUCAAGCUUGGUUUACGGGCCGAGCGGCUCAGUAUACAGAUCAACGUGAAAAUGUGUGUCUCUCAGCCACCCCAGCGGGGCUGUGUGGGGAGCGCUUCUGUGUUUCCACACUGCCGGAGGCGUAUCUGCGGGGCAUGUUCCAGGUGGAAUGUCUAGAACCAAAGCUCGCUCGUCUGUCUCUGUUCACCACAUUCCACUGUAGGAAUCCUCCUCCUGGGCUUGUGACUAUGGGGCACCAGGUCUCCUCUCUAGCGGGGGAUGCAAGAGCAAGAAUUUAUCUUCCAGCUUGGAGGAGGUAUCUCAGCACACCUCUGAGCAGGGAGCCCCAACAUCUUACCCAAGUGGCAGGUCCCUGAAUCUCCUCCAUGGUCCUAAGCCUGCAGUGCACUAGUUUGUCCUACCUGAUGAGCAUUAUGUCAUCAAUGUAACAGGUCAUCACUGUGGCUAGUGUUCCAUAGGAAGAUUCCCGGAAAAGUUCAUAAUACCUUAGAGAAAACCAGUGAGUGAAUACUGUCCAUUCCCCAUGAGAAAAACUGUUUCUCUUCAAAAUAUUAAAAAACACAUUUGUCAAAGCAAUGUCGAAUUCCACGUACCUGAGGGCGUGUCAGUCUGUAUUGGCAGACUGC
rnacentral:lncRNA from 1 species